rnacentral:miRNA from 1 species
GGAAGAAAGGAUGAGAUUGAGAGGGAAGAUGAGAGGGGAGGAUAUGAAGUAGGAGUAGAAAAAGUGAAAACAAAAACAAAAACAAAAACAAAAAACUGAAAUCUAUUUGAAAUAGUUUUCACUUUCAAAAUUUUGUUUUCACUUUUGUUACUCCUCCCUCCCAUCCUCCCCUCUCAUCAUCUCUCUCAAUCUCAUCCUCACUCUCA